rnacentral:rRNA from 1 species
GUGCCAGCCGCGCGGUAAUACGGAGGGGGUUAGCGUUGUUCGGAAUUACUGGGCGUAAAGCGCGCGUAGGCGGACAUUUAAGUCAGAGGUGAAAUCCCAGGGCUCAACCCCAGAACUGCCUCCAAAACUACUGGUCUAGAGUUCGAGAGAGGUGAGUGGAAUUCCGAGUGUAGAGGUGAAAUUCGCAGAUAUUCGGAGGAACACCAGUGGCGAAGGCGGCUCACUGGCUCGAUACUGACGCUGAGGUGCGAAAGUGUGGGGAGCAAACAGGAUUAGAUACCCCGGUAGUCC